rnacentral:tRNA from 1 species
GGAUGUAGCUCCAUGGUAGAGUGCUUGCCUAGCAUGCACAAGGUUCUGGGUUCAACCCUCAGUACCA